GUGGGGAAUAUUGGACAAUGGGCGCAAGCCUGAUCCAGCAACGCCGCGUGGAGGGCGAAGGUCUUCGGAUCGUAAACUCCUGUCAGACGGGACGAAGGGACCGGGGCAAAUAGUCUCGGUUCUUGACGGUACCGUCAGAGGAAGCCCCGGCUAACUCCGUGCCAGCAGCCGCGGUAAUACAGAGGGUGCGAGCGUUAAUCGGAAUUACUGGGCGUAAAGCGCGCGUAGGCGGCUUUGCAAGUCGGGUGUGAAAUCCCCAGGCUUAACCUGGGAACUGCACUCGAGACUGCAUUGCUAGAGUAUGGGAGAGGGAAGUGGAAUUUCCGGUGUAGCGGUGAAAUGCGUAGAUAUCGGAAGGAACAUCAGUGGCGAAAGCGACUUCCUGGACCAAUACUGACGCUCAUGUGCGAAAGCGUGGGGAGCAAA
rnacentral:rRNA from 1 species